UACGGGGGGGAGCAAGCGUUGUUCGGAUUUACUGGGCGUAAAGCGCGUGUAGGCUGCUUCGAAAGUCGGAUGUGAAAGCCCUGGGCUCAACCUAGGAAGUGCAUUCGAAACUUCGAAGCUUGAGUUCUGGAGAGGAAGGCGGAAUUCUCGGUGUAGAGGUGAAAUUCGUAGAUAUCAGGAGGAAUACCGGUGGUGUAGACGGCUCUCUGGACCGCCACUGACGCUGAGACACGAAAGCGUGGGUAGCAAACAGG
rnacentral:rRNA from 1 species